CCUACGGGAGGCAGCAGUGAGGAAUAUUGGUCAAUGGUCGGGAGACUGAACCAGCCAAGCCGCGUGAGGGAGGAAGGUACAGAGUAUCGUAAACUUCUUUUAUCAGGGAACAAAGCAUGGGAUGCGUCCCCGGAUGAGUGUACCUGAAGAAUAAGCAUCGGCUAACUCCGUGCCAGCAGCCGCGGUAAUACGGAGGAUGCGAGCGUUAUCCGGAUUUAUUGGGUUUAAAGGGUGCGCAGGUGGUUUGUUAAGUCAGUGGUGAAAGUUCGGGGCUCAACCCUCACCUUGCCGUUGAAAUUGGCAGUCUCGAGUUCGGUAGAGGUAUGCGGAAUGCGCGGUGUAGCGGUGAAAUGCUUAGAUAUCGCGAAGAACUCCGAUUGCGAAGGCAG
rnacentral:rRNA from 1 species